CCUACGGGAGGCAGCAGUGGGGAAUAUUGCACAAUGGGGGAAACCCUGAUGCAGCGACGCCGCGUGAGUGAAGAAGUAUUUCGGUACGUAAAGCUCUAUCAGCAGGGAAGAAAAUGACGGUACCUGACUAAGAAGCCCCGGCUAACUACGUGCCAGCAGCCGCGGUAAUACGUAGGGGGCAAGCGUUAUCCGGAUUUACUGGGUGUAAAGGGAGCGUAGACGGAAGCGCAAGUCUGGAGUGAAAUCCCAUGGCUUAACCAUGGAACUGCUUUGGAAACUGUGCAGCUAGAGUGCAGGAGAGGUAAGCGGAAGUCCUAGGGUAGCGGUGAAAUGCGUAGAUAUUAGGAGGAACACCAGUGGCGAAGGCGGCUUACUGGACUGUAACUGACGUUGAGGCUCGAAAGCGUGGGGAGCAAACAGGAUUAGAUACCCCAGUAGUC
rnacentral:rRNA from 1 species